UUUUUUUUUUUGAAAAGAUGAAAGCUGAAAACAGUUAGGUUUGGUGUAAGUUACACCAUGGAUGUUGGUGCCUCCUACUGGUCCUAACAAAAAUAUAAGUGGUACCAGCAGGCACUACUUCGCAUACCAAUGUGAAGUAAAAAUUCCCUUUCAUCUGUGGUCAAGUAUGGAAAAAUUAUGAAGGUCCUCAUUAAAUCCACAUUUUUUAACCCAUUAAAUUAUCCUUAUAAAAAUUCAGAUAAACUACUGUCAUAAAUGCAACUGCACUGCCUCAAGAACCUAAAAACUGUUUUCCUAAUCAACUAGAUGGCAUAAUCAGGUAACAGCAGAAACAGCCUAUAGUCUAGUGAAUUUCUGAGAGUCAAAAUAUGCUACUUUGAUGCUUAUUAAACACUGAAAACUUUCACAAUACUAACUCCAGUUAAGUUGGUGAGGUUAAAAAUGACUAAACUAAAAAUAAUGGUUCAAUUAAAACAUCCCACAGGGGUCUACUGUAAAUAAUACCUGCAACCAAGUUCUGUUACCUCAAGACUUGAAGUCCCAAAGAUUUCCCACAGUAGGUGGCUAAUAAAGAAAUAUUUAUGAGUUAUUCUUACUACAGAGAUGGGACUUCAUGAGAACCUAGCAGAGAUACAAAGACUUACAUAAGACACAUGGUACUGUAUAGCAGGAGAUAUAAAGAUGAGUAAGACAAGGCUUUUGCUUUCAGAUAUAACAGUCCACAGCACACAAUGUAAACUGCUUCAUUAAUUAAAGGGCAAAACAUGAAGAUAUAAGAGAAAAGAGAGUAGGCAUAAGGCUGGUUUACCAGAAAGAUGAGAUCUAUCUUGGACCCACUACUUCACAAAUAAGCCUUCUUUGUUACCACAUCAUCUGCUUAGUUAGAAGCAGUUUCCAAACUCUUAAUAAUCCAAAUAAAUGACCAAAUUCCCCACUUAAAUCUGUAGUGAGAAUGUUUCAAAGUAACAAGGUAAGAGGGAGAGGGUGGGGGUCACAGACCUCUUUGAGGAUCUAAUGAAAAUCCUGCACAUAUACUAUGGGGCUAGAGCGGAAAGGAAGAAAAAUAAAGCCUUAUAAGCACCUUCAACAAAAUCUUUUGUUUAAUAUCAGAGGAUUCACAACCUAUCCAGACCCCAAGUUAACAAUCUCUAUUUAAAAGAAACAUUUUUUUUUUCAAAUUAAUAAGGAAAGAUUACCUUGAAAAGUAAAUAUUUUGAAAGGCAAGGAAGAAGUGGUAAAUCGCCUCUAGAAAGGGUGGUUUUUCAGUAUGAAGUUUUCAUCUUGUUAACAACUUAAUUCUAGGUGGUGGGAAUAUGGAUUAUUUUUCUAUACUUUUCUGUAUUUCUUGCUUUCUUUUUCUUUAGUGAGUUUUUCAGAAGAACUGGAAAGAAAACUUGGGGUGACCAACUUGUCUUCAAUGGCUGUCCAACUGCUGAAAAGCGUCUUCCCUUAUACAAGCUGAAUUUGCCAAUAUCUGAAAUAUGGUACUCAACACCAUACAGCAUAACAGAGCAUGUGAAUGAGUGAGAGAAUAAAUGAAUGAAUGAGGAGGCUUAGAAUCUAACAGUCCCAGGUUCAAUCCCAUUCUGACAUUUAUUAGCUAUGUGACCCUGAUGAGGUUGCCUAAAAUCCUUCUAUGCCAGUAUCUUUACCUGUAAAAUGAAUGCUCCCUGCCAACAUUUGUAUACUUUGAAACUCACACAUUAUUUAAGAUGUACAUUUAACCACUUAAGCUCACUCUCACACCUCCCCAAACUUAUAAUAUUUAUUCAUUGGUGUAUUUUUAAAUUGAGGUGCCUUACAACAGUUUUGUUCACUAUUGCUCACCCAGUAUAGCACAAUACCUAGCACAUAGUAGGAACUCCAAACAUUUAUUGAAUAAUGAAAGAAAUAUAACAGCACCUACUUCAUAGGGUUAUGGCAAGAAUAAAAUGAGAAUACGUGAAAACUGUAUUAACUCAUUUAACUCUCAUAACAAUGUCAUAAAGUAGAAUCUACUAUCAUUACCAUUUAUACCAUUUACAUGAGGAAAUUGCAGUAGAGAUUUAAAAACUUGGCCAAGGUCACAAUGCUAGUAAAUGAUGGAUCAAGGAUUUAAAUCCAAGCUCCAAAAUCCAUACUUUCAACCUUUACCUAGCCUUCACAAACAGUAGGUACUGAAUAAGUAUUCAUUUUUAUUUACUCUUUAAAAAUUUUAGGAGGCUUAAGGUACUUACCAGGCAUUCAUCAAUUCCUAUUAGUUUAACUGGCUUUCCCCUUAAUACUUAUCAGAAGAUCAUCAUCACUAAGAAAAGGAAUUAAGAAACUGGAAAAUCUUGAAAUCUAAACUUCAGCUAUUCAGAAGCCCUGGAUCCAAGAAGGGAAGAAUUUCCAUUCCUUUUCUUCUUUUCCUAAAUGAAUGCUGAAUCCUCCCUAAGUACUAGGUAUUCACUAAAAUUUUUUUUUUUUUUCCUAGUACUGUGCUUAAGCAGGAGAGAAGACAAGAUAAAUUAUAAUUAAGACAGACUACUGCUUCAAAGAUCUUAACAUCUAGUUUACAAAUACUGCUACAUCAAUUAAGAGAUGAAACAAGCAAGCUUCUCUGGGCUAAUCUAGGAUUCUAAGCAUUACAAAAGAGGAAUUUAGAUAGCACUUUUCCAAUAGAAAACAAACAAAAAUAUUUCCAAAUGAAGCUGAACACAGCCUAAUUCUGAAAUAUUUUUUCUUUCUCCCUCAUUUUCAACUCUCUUUUUCUGUUUGUAAACAGAUCCUCCCUGGCCUUGCAAAUCCUUUCAAUACUAAGUCAGUACUAAUUUAUUUACUGGCUCCCUUUGUCUAAAAUUUCUUCACUAGGUUUCUCUCUUGAUUUAGUCACAGGUUACUUACAAAAACAGAUGAAAUUCUGAUCAACUCCUACUGUAUUUAUACUUUUAGCAUCUUCAACAAAAAUGUUUCUCCCCCUUUGAAUUCUGCUUUAGAAAAUACUAAGAUUGCAGUGCGCAGUGUGGCUCACACCUGUAAUCUCAGCACUCUGGGAGGCUGAGGCCAGCGGAUCACCUGAGUGCUGGGAUUACAGGAGUGAGCUACCACGCCCGGCCAAUGGGCACACUUUCUUACACGUAUUUCUCCUGACUCAUCUUCAUAACAAAUGACAAACCCAUUGUUUAACACCAUGUAAAAGACAGGAUAAGGUAUGUUAAAAACAUAGAAAUACUACCAUAGUUGGUCAAAGUCAACAUAACCAUUCCUAUAUUACAAAAGGAAAACAAACCUGACCCACAAAACAUACCUACAAACUUACAGCCAUUCUUCAUGAUUUAAGGAAUUACUAAAAGUUCUGCUUAUUAGGCCGCACUCCAAUGGACAAAACUACCUAGGUAUGUUAAGUUUGCAGCAGAAUAUCCCAGUAAGUACUGCAUUCAACUAUCAUAACCUUGCUCUAAACCAGAGCUUAAUAUUUUCAGGAAAUUUAAAAUUUUAAGUAAUGGUAUUUUGCCUAUAGCUGCAUGAUUGUGUUACCUUGCUAUUCAGUAACUAUUUUUCUGAAUGAUGUCAGGAGGGUAGUAAAAGGAAAUAAAUUAUCAUUAAAAAGUGUACAGGUCUGAGCCAUUAGAAAACUUUGAUUUUUACUUUUGCUACUACCCACCACAACCACUUUCCUCUAAACCUUGUUUUCCUCCUUUUUAAAAUAAAGGGCUGAAUUAUCUGUAAAAUGCUUCUCACCUUUGAGAAGAAUCGUACAAUUGAAUGAUUCUAAGUACCAUAACAAAUUUUAUUAGGGAUAAGGACCCCAUCACAUCUUUCUCUUCCUUGUUUCAAAUGCCGCCAGAGCAACACACUACCCUAAACAUCCAAGUAGGCCAAUAUAAGUCUAUCAAUACAAACCUGUUCUCAGAAUCCAACAGGCUAAAAGGGAAUAAAAACAAGGACUGGCAUAUUUUUGUCAUACAUACUGCAACAUUUAGUAUCUCUACCUAUACAACUUCAUCCAGUCUGAGAUAAAAGAGAAUCUGGUCUUCUACAAAUAGACAUUUGUCAAAUCCUUUAAAAGGUACUUCUCUAUUUCAACAGAGACCAGGAUUCAAUAAAUCUAAUUUUCAGAAAACCAGACUUGCAUCAAAACAAGUUCCAUGUUUGUGGAAGAGAAUAAAUAGUAAGUGGUACUUUUAGAUGAAUCAGUUGGUCUCCUCUUAGAACUAAGUUUAAAACCAGCCUUUAAAGCUGUUUUCCCUCUGCUGAUAAAGAUUUCCCUUUCCAAAUAAAGAUUUUUCUAGAUUCUAUUUCAGGAAGGAGACAAGAGAGUGGUAAAAGAGCUAAUAACUAGUAAAGCUAACUCUCAGUUGGUUGUCAGUAUGGUAUGUUUUACCGAGCCUUUGGGUCGUAAGGGCUUCUGUGAGGAAUAAGAUCCUGCAACGCCGCCUGUCUGUGGACCCAGGAAAAAUUAUAAAGUUAUUAUGAAACCAGAUCACUAGGACAAACCGAGAGGCCUUCCUAUUCCAACUCACCACAACCAGGCCUGGCUCCAAAGCCUACUCUUUGGCUGUCCCAUAUUAUGGGACAACAGGUCCUAGCUUAAUUCUAACUCACUAAGGAAACAUUCGAAGACAUGUAUGUAUGUACGUGUAAGGAUCAAAUAUAUUUUUCAUCCACUUACAAAUGUAUAUGGUCAUUUGUAAUUAUUUAAAGUUACUGAUAAAUUUAUACAAAUACAGCAUCAGUUCAUCGAAAAUCCCUGGGAGAUCAAGGAAAUGAAGUUACUUCAGCAGCCAGGAUAGUUACGAAAAACCCUGCAGAACAGUAUGGAAAAGUACAGCUUCUCACGUGUCCCUCACAUACACAAACACUUAGCUCUGAGUCCAUUACAACCUUACGUCCCCCCUCAAACUGCUCCCCUCCACCUCACAACUGGGAGAAGUUGAUCAACCUCCUAGGUGGUCCCCAAGAGACUCAUCUACCUAUUAUUUUACUCCUCCCGCUUUGAUCCCGAUCCCGCCCCAAACUAAGGUGGCCCUACCGGCCCCAGGCAGACCACCCCCCCACCCCCCGGCGUGCAAACAGGGAAUCUAACCAAUUUCCUCCAUCCUUAACCAAGUGAGCCAUCCCAUGAUAACAGGCUGUUCCCCAACUCUGUGAACUCCGUGGUCCUCCCACCCGCACGUGUCAGCUACCCUCCCCCACAUUCCCACACCUCACGAUUUAGGCCGAGGGAAGAAAGGGGGCAGUCGAAAGCCUGGCCUCUAAGAGAUCAACCCACUGGAAUAUGUCCCACUGCAAGUCCCCUCCCACCUUCGGCCCCUAUCCCUUACAGUCCCUUCCUCCCUCCUUCCUUUGAAACCAGGCCCUUGCCUCAGAAACCUCCUCUUCCUCGUCGUCGUCGUCCUCUUCUUCCUCGCUGUUGUUACUGCUGGUGCCGCCGCCGCCACCUCCGCCUCCACCGCCGCCUCCACCGCCGCCGCUGUUGUCGCUGUCGCUGCUGCUUUCGCUGCUGCUGGGGGGUCGGCAAGUCCGGUUACGCUUGGCCUUGUGGUGCUGCUGCUGCGGCGGCUUCUUCUUCAGGAGCAGGUCGCAGACUCGCACCAUCCCACGAGGAGACGAGGCCGAGCGAGCUCCGCUGCUGCUGCCAACGCCGCCGCCGACCUCCGCCGCCGCGGGGGGGCCCGCCACAGCCGCCACCGCCGGGGGGCUCCCUUCUCCUUCUGCAGCCGUCGCCGCCGCCACCGGAACCGUCGCCUUCUCCAUCCCCAGGGAAAGAGGGAGGGCGCGGACGGGGGAGGGGCGUGGGGGCUACGCUCUACCGCGACUUCGGCCGCACUGGGGCCGACACAGCAAUCAGUGCCGCCUCCGCCGCCACCGCCUCGGUCACCUCUACUGCCGCCGCCGCCGCCGCUCCGCCAGCUCUCACCUCGUCUCGCGAUACUAAGGGCGGGGAGCCUGACGAUGGGAGGGUGGGAGGGAGGGAGGGAGAGGGAGAGGGAGGGAGCAAGGGAAGGAGGGUGAGGCGUAAGAGGGAGACCGGGUGUCGGGAGAACCAGAGGAGAGGAGACUGGAAAGACGCCGGGGAAGUGUGCCUGGGGCAGCUUCCGAAGGGGAAUGGCGGGGACAGAUGAGUGGGGCGCGAUUGCAACCAGAGCGCCCGCGAGCUCCCGGAUUUCUUCUUUUUCCUCGCUAUUUCCCGCACACACAGCCCUGCAGCCCUCCCUUCUUCCUUCCUGGCUUGUGAUUAGAACGCAGCCGCAGGCGGAAGUGCAGUGACGCCAUCAGCCGUCGCCUGAGCCGUGGCGCGCGGGUGGCCGAAAGGCGAAAGUGAGAUUUCGAGGGCCGGGUCUGGGGCCCCGCGGGCGCGCAGUGCUGCGAUAUGUGGGGAGUACGGGGAGGCUGGAGAGGAGCCGGCCCCGGGCAGUGUGAGGUGCGGAAGCGCGGUCCAGACACUUUGCUGACGGGAGGCCUGUCCGCCAGAUCCGGGAGGUGGGGCCUGGUUCUGGACUGCUAUAAGAAACAGAGGCAAAUGCAGGUUAAGGAACCUCACAGUAAGGGAUAAAACUCAUAUUUUAACCUGAUCUGCCUGAUUCUGGAGCCUGCACCAUCAUUCCAUUGUCAUGCUUGCCACAUGUUUCAUUGUUUUUCAGUCUCUUUGAGGCUUGCUAAAAUUGAUAUCCAUGAGUUCUAUCAAUUCUGGGACAGAGAACAAAUUGUGUGUCAGCCUGUACGGAUGGAGGGACAGCGAGGAAUUUGCCAAGGAGAAUGAUAAGGGGAGAGAGUAAGAAAGCAAUGAGAUACACAUGUCUUGACUGCUUCUUUUCAUGCUGAAAUCCUGGGGGAAAGAAGUACUAAAUCAGUUGAAGGCAUGGGAACAUUUAUUCUGCGCCACUGGGUUAGGGUCUCCACAACUGAGCUGGUCCCAGCAAGAGUUGCCCAAUGUGGAGGCUUGAACCCAGGUCGAAGGGUCACCAGAGUGACGGUUGGAGAAUGUGAAACUAAGCUGGAGUACACCCGAGUACUCUUAAGCAGUCCCUGUGGUGAGUAAGAGGGGAGCUCGGAAGCAUCAGGGUAACAAUGGGACUAGUGUGGGCUCUGGUUCAUUCCACCUUGGAACCUUUUCACACUGAUGAUGAAGAAGAAGGAAAGUGUAAUGAAGUAACAGAAGAAGUAACAGGGCAGGUUUGUUUGCCAACUAAAGCUAAAGUGGCAAAGGAGGAAGAGGUUCAUCCCUACUCUUGUGCACCCUCUCAUUAUUUUGAAGAAAAAGAGUGUCCUGACCCUCCAGGUCUUUCUUUUCCAGAGGACACUGGGUGAAAGUAGUUGCCCUAGUGACUCUGUUCGAGCAGCACCUCGAGCGACCACUCUCUGCUCUGUUCAGGCAGGAAUUCAGCAAGCUAGAAGAGAGGGUGAUUUAGAGGCUUGGCAGUUCCCUGUUAGAGUACACCCCGCAGAUCAACAGGGAAAUAUUAUAGCUACAUUUGAGUCUUUUCUUUUUAAAUUACUCAAAGAAUUUAGACAAGCUAUUAGUCAAUAUGGACCAGGUUCUCCUUUUGUAAUGGGACUGCUAAAGAAUGUUGCUCUUUCCAGUCGAUGAUUCCUACCGACUGGGAUGCUCUUACUUGAGCUUGUCUAAGUACUGCUCACUUCUUACAAUUUAAAACUUGGUGGGCAGAUGAAGCUUCCAUUCAGGCUGCUCACAAUGCCCAGACCCAACCUCAAAUUAAUGUAACUGCAGACCAACUUUCAGGGGUCGGCGGCUGGGCUGGUUUAGAUGCACAAGUGGUCAUGCAGGACUAUGCCAUAGAACAGCUUAGAGGAGUGUGCAUUAGAGCUUGGGAAAAAAAUCACUUCAGGUGGAGAACAAUACCCUUCCUUUAGUGCUGUAAAACAGGGACCAACAGAACCAUACAUGGAUUUUAUAGCUUGGUUACAGGAGUCUCUUAAAAAGGUGAUUGCAGAUUUGGCUGCUCAGGAUAUAGUGUUGUGGUUAUUAGCUUUCGACAAUGCUAAUCCCGAUUGCCAGGCUGCUCUGCGACCUAUUAGAGGGAAAGCACAUUUAGUUGAUUAUAUCAAGACCUGUGAUGGUAUUGGAGGUAAUCUGCAUAAGGCUACUCUGCUAGCCCAGGUAAUGGCAGGACUGAGAGUGGGUAAAGGAAAUACUCCAUUUCCUGGAGCUUGUUUUAACUGUGGGAAGCAUGGUUAUAUUAAAAAAGAAUGUAGAAACAAUCAGCGAGUCAGGCUGCCAGAUAAGGAUAAAAAGAAAACUGCUGAGCCUGAAAUAUGUCCAAAAU